rnacentral:rRNA from 1 species
UACAGAGGAGCCAAGCGUUGUCCGGAUUGACUGGGCGUAAAGCGCACGUAGGCGGGUUGUUAAGUCAGGGGUGAAAUCCUGGAGCUCAACUCCAGAACUGCCUUUGAUACUGGCAACCUAGAGACUGGAAGAGGUUAGUGGAAUUCCCAGUGUAGAGGUGAAAUUCGUAGAUAUUGGGAAGAACACCAGUGGCGAAGGCGGCUAACUGGUCCAGCACUGACGCUGAGGUGCGAAAGCGUGGGGAGCAAACAGG